AUAGAACCAUAAACGCUACAAUUUAAUGUGAUAGAUGAUGAUGUAAAUA
rnacentral:guide_RNA from 1 species